ensembl:lncRNA
ACCUCAGUGUGCACCUAAAUUACUAUCAGAAUCUUUAAAUUUUCAUUUCUUUACUUUUUUCCAGCUAUGGCUUCCAAUUUCACUGCCUGUCCUCCCCUUGUGCCUGAUUCCCAACUCACUCUUCAGAACUCUCUCACCACCAUUUUCCACCUUUACUGCACCUUCCAAUUUGAUUCUAAUAAAAAAAAUCUUCCACAUUUGAAAACUAUAAAUAAAUUGGACAAAUGCAUUCAAUGCUCAGAAGCACUACAAUGAAUGUUACUUGAAUGUCUAGAAUCACCAGAAAAGGAAAAGAGAAUAAACCAGGAUUUUGUAUCUUUGUGCCAUUGUAGCAUUGUGUGAAAUAGUUCCACCCAGCAGUGUGCACAUUUCUGGCCUCUAAAUAAAUAAACUAUUGCAAGAGGCAAAGAAAUUUCUGAGAGAAGUGAUAAAGCUGAUUUAAUGCUUAAAAUGGCUUUUCUAUUAAGCAUACUAGGACACCUUCAGAUCAAUGACCACUGAGUGAAUAUGUUCUUGCUUACCUUUACUACCUAGGAGGUCAGUAGUUAAAUAUAUCAAACUUAUGAAGUCUAAUCUAAUCAUAAAAUUAGUUACAGCCAAAGGGUUAUUGACAUCAGAAAUGCUGUCUAAAUUUCCUAGGCAGUUUUUAAAAGUAAAUAGAUCCUUACUCUAUAGGUUUUUUUCAAAUCAGAGAGAAGAGAGAAAGAUGUUGUGUGGAAAGAAGAUAUUGGUGCCAUCUCUCUCCUCACAGAAAUCAAUUCUGGACUACACAGCUGCUUACACAAGCCUUAACACUGGUGGUUGCUGGCACCCUGGUUUGUGCUGGUAUUCUCAUGAUUCCCUCAGAAAAUACUUGUGAAGGCCAUAAAGGAAUCCCACGACAGGAAAAACCUGUAGCUUCUACAGGAAGAGGACUUGUUUUCUAUUUAAGAGAAAAGAGGCAUCAUUUGUAUGCAGAGUGCAGAGGCCUGAAACAAUCAAACCCCUCCAAGAUUUGAUACCCAGAGGUGCCUCUUGAGGAGGAGAAAAGGUUUGUUUGCAUCAGCCCUGUUACUGUGGCAGGGCUGUUUCUGUACCUGCAGCCAUGCAUUGAGUGUUCCAGGACGGAAUGGGCGAGGAGAGGGGAAGGAUGAAAUGAUCAGGAGCUCCUGACAGAAGUAUUUUAUCAUGUAGGAUGGACCAUUGAUCUCUCAGCUUUGAAGCCUGCAGAACCAAAAUAAUAUUUUCUAACGGAGCAAGCUGGAACAUCCCAAAUGCUCCUUGGGUUGUUUUGGUUUUGUGGUGGGUUGUUUAGGGCUUUAUUUGUUUGUUUUUGUUCGGUAGUUGGGGUUUUUCCCGCUUUAGGCCGGGCAGCAGCCACGGUAUAACAAAACAGCAGUAAAAAAACGCAAAUUAGCAGUUGAGAAAAUGAAUACUGGAAGAUUUCAAGACACGGACUGGUUUUACAGCAGGCAGGGCGAGAUGCUCGUCACUCAUCGCGGUGUCCUCCAGCGGAUCCAUCGUCACCGGCUGAGGAUUAGGGAAAGGAAAAGGACUCGGGGGCAGGGCAGGGAGCGCAGGGAAUGGAGGGG